rnacentral:rRNA from 1 species
GUAGGGUGCGAGCGUUAAUCGGAAUUACUGGGCGUAAAGCGUGCGCAGGCGGUUUCUUAAGCCAGACGUGAAAUCCCCGGGCUUAACCUGAGAACUGCGUUUGGAACUGGGAGACUAGAGUGUGUCAGAGGGAGGUGGAAUUCCGCGUGUAGCAGUGAAAUGCGUAGAGAUGCGGAGGAACACCGAUGGCGAAGGCAGCCUCCUGGGAUAACACUGACGCUCAUGCACGAAAGCGUGGGGAGCAAACAGGAUUAGAUACCCUGGUAGUCCACGCCCUAAACGAUGUCAACUGGCUGUUGGGAGAGAAAUCUUUCAGUAGCGAAGCUAACGCGUGAAGUUGACCGCCUGGGGAGUACGGCCGCAAGGUUG